rnacentral:rRNA from 1 species
UACGAAGGGGGCUAGCGUUGUUCGGAUUAACUGGGCGUAAAGCGCACGUAGGCGGAUCGUUAAGUGAGGGGUGAAAUCCCAGGGCUCAACCCUGGAACUGCCUUUCAUACUGGCGAUCUUGAGUCCGGAAGAGGUGAGUGGAACUCCUAGUGUAGAGGUGGAAUUCGUAGAUAUUAGGAAGAACACCAGUGGCGAAGGCGGCUCACUGGUCCGGUACUGACGCUCAUGCACGAAAGCGUGGGGAGCAAAAGGG